rnacentral:rRNA from 1 species
CAGUAGCCGCGGGAAUACGAAGGGGGCUAGCGUUGUUCGGAAUCACUGGGCGUAAAGAGCACGUAGGCGGAUCUUUAAGUCAGGGGUGAAAUCCCGAGGCUCAACCCCGGAACUGCCUUUGAUACUGGGGAGCUCGAGUCCGGGAGAGGUGAGUGGAACUGCGAGUGUAGAGGUGAAAUUCGUAGAUAUUCGCAAGAACACCAGUGGCGAAGGCGACACACUGGCUCAUUACUGACGCUGAGGCGCGAAAGCGUGGGGAGCAAACAGGAUUAGAUACCCCGGUAGUCCCUGUCUCUUAUAC